AUGCAGCCACAGGUAGUCAUCGAAUCCGGCUUCCUAUGCUGUGCAAUCAACAAAUCAAAAUAACUUGUGUCAUCAUUAGAAUGUCAGAUGUGCUUCUACGAACUAAGCUGACUCUUUUAAUUCUUUGGCAAAGGGUUGGCAAACUAGGACUGUUUGCCAAAUUCAGCCUGCCUCCUAUUUUUAGAGUCUUCCUGAAACACAGCUACACCCGUAUUAUCCAUGGCUGCUUUCCUGUCACAGUGAGUAAGUAGCUGGGACUGAGAUGGCAUGGCCUCCAAAGUCUAAAAUAUUUACUCUCUAGCACUUUGUAGAAAAACCUUAGCUAGGCACAGUGGCUAACGCCUGUAAUCCCAGCAUUUUGGGAGGCCAAGGCAGGCAGAUCACCUGAGGUCAGGAGUUCCAGACCAGCCUGGCCAACAUGGUGAAAUCCCAUCUCUACAAAAAUACAACAGUUAGCUGGGCAUGAUGGCGGGUGCCUGUAAUACCAGCUACUCGGGAGGCUGAGGCAGAAUAGUCGCUUGAACCCAGGAGGUGGAGGUUGCAAUGAGCCAAGAUCAUGCCACUGCACUCCAGCCUGGACGACAGAGUGAGACUCCAUCACCAGAAAAAAACUUUGUCAACCUCUGUCUUAGGGCGCCUUGUCACAGGCUUCGGGUCAGACGGAUUCAACCUCGCAUCAGCCAUUUGUUAGCCAGGUCACUCUGUUCUUUGUCUGUAAAUGAGAUUGAUCGUUGUUCCCACUGAGAGUGUCAGCUCCUUCCCAUAGAGCAGGCAUGAUGAUUGUACUCACCUCUGACACCAUUGUGAGUGCCACAUUCCUUCCCAUGUCCUUGUCACCGUAAGAGAUGCCCACCUGAGCACCAACCCCAGGUUAUCUUCCCCUUUGUCUUCCAGCCCCCCAGAAACAGCUACGACUCAACCUACCCAAUCAUUUCAUCAUCAGAUUGCCACUGUCUCCAGUUCAGGUCUCUUGGGACUGGCACUCAGAAAUCUCAUAAUAAAUCCUCUUGAGGCUUCUCAUACACUCGUCUUCUUCCAAUCUUCUUUCCCUCAAAAUCUCAUAUUUUGGUUCCACUUCACCCACGGUCAUUCUCCAUAUCACUCCCAGGAGUUAGGCAAAAAGCCCCUUCCGUUCUUCCGUAUGUUAAACUUAGAAUCACUCUGUUCCCUGCUCUACGUUUCUAUUUUUUGUUUUUCCUCCAUUUACUAGUAGCUUAACACUUUCUAACAGUGUUCUUAUUAUUGAUACAUAUCUAUCUCUUCCAUAAGCUUAUAAGGUCAUGGAUAAUACUUCUCAUUGUAGUACGUAAAUGACGUGGGCUAGAUAUGAGUUGAAUAAACAAUUAUACCUGUAAAUUCUUACAGAGUGAAAAUAAAUUGUUAUACUUUACAAUUUGUUUCUCUCUUUAGACCAUUUCCAGGACUUGUGAUUAAUAACCAGCUGGUUGAUCAGAGUGAGUCAGAAGGCCCCGUGAUACAAGAAUCAGCUGAACCAAGCCAGUUGGAAGUUCCAGCCACAGAAGAAAUAAAAGAGACUGAUGGAAGCUCUCAGAUCAAGCAAGAACCAGACCCCACGUGGUAGACCUCUUCCCUCCUAGGGUAAAUCAGCUUCUGUGUCAGGGAUGCUGUGUGGUGUCCAUCUGAACCCCCUGCAUACGUGUAGCUAAUGUGAUCUCCCCACUUUCACAUAAGAUGGUGGCCCUGCCUUCAGGGAAUGUGGGAGCCAGGUGGGAGCCUUCCCGGAUAUUUAAGCUAGAAGAUUCUACAGGGAGAUUCUCCUUGGAUCAAUAUAUGUCUCUCAGUCAAAGAUGUAAAAGCACUUUUGCCUUAAAAAGAAUGUUCUGUUUCUAAAUAGAGUCAACGUUGUCCUCCUCAUUGGAAUUCACUAUGAGUCAGAAUCAUUAGACUGACUUUUUUUUUUUUCCAUAGUAAUAGUAUUUUGCAGAGUCUCACAGAGCUGCAGAUCUUUUGUUCAUCUUGCAGAGUUGAGUUAACAAGUCUGAUCCUAUUAUUCCAGAUUUCUUAAAUUUGGCCAAGUUAUAAUAGGAGCAGUAGCUUGAGACCCGAAGUCAGGAAACUUUGACAAUGGAUUUUUUUUUUUAAUCCAGAGACUUGUACUGGAAUUUGCCUUACCCUGUCAGCUCAUGGACUUAAGGUUUCAUCCCGCUUUAUGAGUGCUUCUGAAUCCAAGUCAUUGUUACCCGAAUUUGCAGAUUAAGUUGUGAUAUUCGUGACUGUUAAAUUCCUGUAAUUAGAUUAACCUCUUUGCUUGCUUGUUUGUUUUCUCUCCUAUUUUAGCUUAAAGUAUCAGUGGUUGAGAAGAGCUUUUCGGACCUGUUACUACCCCAAGCUGUGUAAUAUACUUGUAUAACAGAAAUACCUUCUAUACAAACCUUUUUUUCUACUUUUAGAUAGAAAUGUCUACUUUUUCAGCAGUUCUGUGAAUUAAAGAGCAGAGUGACUGUGGGUCUGGAAUGGCUGGUGUACUUGGGAAUGUACUAUCAGGAUUUUACAGCAAUGCUGGGAAAUGACAGGGAAAAUGACAGGAAUGAAUCUCACCAGAUUUUUUAUGUACUUAGCAGAGCCUUGAGUUACGGUGUUUAUUUUCCAAUCAAGUGAAGAUAUCUCCUACUUCUCCUACUGGAACGUCUCAGCUUCUGCAGUGAAGAAAAAUUCCUGUGAUAGUUCAGUUCUUUAGUUUUUCUAUUUGAAAAAAAAAAAAUCAUUUAAAUGAUCCUUUGUUCACGGCUCUCCUUAAUGACUGAGUGAACAGUUCCUAUCUGUAUAUUUGACUAAACCUUUUCCUAAGCUAUCUCUCAUGGUUCCUAUGUUUUUUUUAUCAUAAUUAAAAGCAAAACCAUCUGGAUCACCUAACAGUCAGAGGUCAGUAUCUCAGCGUGUGAAUUAUAGAGUAAAUACAGAGAGAACCUCUUCCACUUUUACUUUUCGUCCAAAUAAAAUGCAUGGUGUACCAGAAGUUGAAGAUCGGGUUGAGGAUUGGGGCUAGCUCGAUGACACUAAGGCCCCAACAUCGCGGGACCUGCUGUGGCGCGGAUUCUUAGGAACGCUGUUCUAGCCGGCCCCCUCUCCAGGGGUCGCCGUGGCCGGCAUUAUUUCCUAGUUCUUCUUGUAACCCUGAGGUGCCAGCGCGGGGAGUGAGGAGGGGUCAGGGGGCUAAGGAUGCAACCUCUGACGUUCUGCGCCUUCCUAGGAGAGUCUUACAUGUGUUGAGAUUUCACAAGCAAUGCGAGUUGUAAAAUACCAGCUCUACAAGAAGCUAGGCUCUGUGACGGCAUAGUUUUCAGUAGCUUUAUCACAAUAUUCACAAUGGAGAAUUAUAUGACAUGGUAGCAGAAAUAGGCCCUUUUAUGUGUUGCUUCUAUUUUACCUCAAAUUGUAGAUAUAGGGUAAUCAAUAAAAUCCAUCCAUGCCUUUCACACACU
rnacentral:sRNA from 1 species